rnacentral:rRNA from 1 species
UACGAAGGGGGGCGAGCGUUGUUCGGAUUUACUGGGCGUAAAGGGCGCGCAGGCGGCCAUUCAAGUCAGGCGUGAAAGCCCCCGGGCUUAACCUGGGAGGUGCGCUUGGGACUGGAUGGCUAGAGAUCGGGAGAGGAGAGUGGAAUUCCCAGUGUAGAGGUGAAAUUCGUAGAUAUUGGGAAGAACACCGGGUGGCGAAGGCGGCUCUCGUGG